rnacentral:rRNA from 1 species
AAUCUUCCGCAAUGGACGCAAGUCUGACGGAGCAACGCCGCGUGAACGAUGAAGGCCNNNGGGUCNUAAAGUUCUGUUGUUAGNGACNAACGAGUACCAUUCGAAUAGGGUGGUACCUUGACGGUACCUAACCAGAAAGCCACGGCUAACUACGUGCCAGCAGCCGCGGUAAUACGUAGGUGGCAAGCGUUGUCCGGAAUUAUUGGGCGUAAAGCGCGCGCAGGCAGUCUUUUAAGUCUGAUGUGAAAGCCCCCGGCUCAACCGGGGAGGGUCAUUGGAAACUGGGAGACUUGAGUGCAGAAGAGGAGAGUGGAAUUCCAUGUGUAGCGGUGAAAUGCGUAGAGAUAUGGAGGAACACCAGUGGCGAAGGCGACUCUCUGGUCUGUAACUGACGCUGAGGCGCGAAAGCGUGGGGAGCAAAC